GUGUCCCGUUGGUCUAGUGGUUAGGACUCAGGAUUUUCAUUCCUGCAACAGGAGUUCGAUUCUCCUAUCGGCUACG
rnacentral:tRNA from 1 species